rnacentral:rRNA from 1 species
UGAAGCUGGAGUUACUAGUAAUCGCAGAUCAGAAUGCUGCGGUGAAUGCGUUCCCGGGUCUUGUACACACCGCCCGUCACACCACGGGAGUUGGAGACGCCCGAAGCCGAUUAUCUAACCUUUUGGAAGAAGUCGUCGAAGGUGGAAUCAAUAACUGGGGUGAAGUCGUAACAAGGUAGCCGUAUCGGAAGGUGCGGCUGGAUCACCUCCUUUCUAAGGAGA